rnacentral:rRNA from 1 species
AGCGAACGCUGGCGGCAGGCCUAACACAUGCAAGUCGAACGAAGUCUUCGGACUUAGUGGCGGACGGGUGAGUAACACGUGGGAACGUGCCUUUAGGUUCGGAAUAACUCAGGGAAACUUGUGCUAAUACCGACUGUGCCCUUCGGGGGAAAGAUUUAUCGCCUUUAGAGCGGCCCGCGUCUGAUUAGCUAGCUGGUGAGGUAAAGGCCCACCAAGGCGACGAUCAGUAGCUGGUCUGAGAGGAUGAUCAGCCACAUUGGGACUGAGACACGUCCCAAACUCCUACGGGAGGCAGCAGUGGGGAAUCUUGCGCAAUGGGCGAAAGCCUGACGCAGCCAUGCCGCGUGAAUGAUGAAGGUCUUAGGAUUGUAAAAUUCUUUCACCGGGGACGAUAAUGGCGGUACCCGGAGAAGAAGCCCCGGCUAACUUCGUGCCAGCAGCCGCGGUAACAC